UGAAAAAUCUAAUUUUAGUUGUGGCUCUUUCCCUAGUGGCAUUGGUAUCAUCCCAACGACCUUGGCCUCCUUGGAAUCGUCCGGGACCGAGACCACCACCAUUUAGACCACCACCACAAAUUCGGAGACCUUAUGUCCCACCUACUACGGCUCGUGACAAAUGGUGCCGACUAAAUCUAGGACCUGCAUGGGGUGGGCGAUGCUAAGAGGCCAAGAAAACAUCCUUCAUAUAUAAAGCUUAAAUAUUUCAAAAAUACAUAAUCCAGAGCCCUUACGAUUGCUUAAUGGUUUAGGUUCGUUCAAUAAAGAAAACUUAUAAAAUUCCUAAUA